GUAAGUAUUCAAUCGCUGAUUUUUCAGAGGAAGUUCCAUGCUUGCGCUGAUAUCUAAUAUUUAUCAGCAGUGUUUUAGAAUGGUUAAAUCCAUUACACCAUUAUUAGUUUGGUGAUGAAGAUUAAAGUUCUUUUAAAUGAAUGGAGAUCGUAAAGGGCAACAGAAACGAGUUUUGUAGAAAUAUAAAAAUGAAACGGGCAACCUCCUAAAGCAAGAAACCCAAAUUAUGGUAGGGGAACAACAAGCAAUUGUUGAUGAUAUUUUAAAGUUUCAUAGAUAAAUGAUUGAUUAAAACAGAACGUGGGCUAUUCUU
rnacentral:RNase_P_RNA from 1 species